GGAGAAAAGCAGGGGAUCGCAAGACCUUGCGCUCUUGGAGCGGCCGAUGCCUGAUUAGCUAGUUGGUGAGGUAAAGGCUUACCAAGGCGACGAUCAGUAGCUGGUCUGAGAGGACGACCAGCCACACUGGGACUGAGACACGGCCCAGACUCCUACGGGAGGCAGCAGUGGGGAAUUUUGGACAAUGGGGGAAACCCUGAUCCAGCCAUGCCGCGUGAGUGAGGAAGGCCUUCGGGUUGUAAAGCUCUUUCAGCCGGAACGAAACGGUCACGGCUAAUACCUGUGACUACUGACGGUACCGGAAGAAGAAGCACCGGCUAACUACGUGCCAGCAGCCGCGGUAAUACGUAGGGUGCAAGCGUUAAUCGGAAUUACUGGGCGUAAAGCGUGCGCAGGCGGUUUUGUAAGUCAGAUGUGAAAUCCCCGGGCUUAACCUGGGAACUGCGUUUGAAACUACAAAGCUAG
rnacentral:rRNA from 1 species